rnacentral:rRNA from 1 species
AGUGAACGCUGGCGGUAGGCCUAACACAUGCAGUCGAACGGCAGCACAGUAAGAGCUUGCUCUUACGGGUGGCGAGUGGCGGACGGGUGAGGAAUACAUCGGAAUCUACUUUUUCGUGGGGGAUAACGUAGCGAAACUUACGCUAAUACCGCAUACGACCUACGGGGGAAAGCAGGGGAUCCUCGGACCUUGCGCGAAUGAAUGAGCCGAUGGCGGAUUAGCUAGUUGGCGGGGUAAAGGCCCAACAAGGCGACGAACCGUAGCUGGUCUGAGAGGAUGAUCAGCCACACUGGAACUGAGACACGGUCCAGACUCCUACGGGAGGCAGCAGUGGGGAAUAUUGGACAAUGGGCGCAAGCCUGAUCCAGCCAUACCGCGUGGGUGAAGAAGGCCUUCGGGUUGUAAAGCCCUUUUGUUGGGAAAGAAAAGCAGCAGGUUAAUACCCCGCUGUUCUGACGGUACCCAAAGAAUAAGCACCGGCUAACUUCGUG